rnacentral:rRNA from 1 species
UAAAGUCUAAUCUGCCCACUGAUAUAAUAUUAAAGGGCUGCAGUAUUUUGAGUGUACAAAGGUAGCAUAAUCAUUAGUCUUUUAAUUGAAGACUUGUAUGAAUGAUUGGAUGAAAUAUAAASUGUCUCUAAUAUUAUUAGUUAGAAUUUAAUUUUUUUAUUAAAAAGUAAAAAUAAAUUUAAAAGACGAGAAGACCCUAUAGAGUUUUAUAAUUAAUUUAAUUGAAAUUAUUUAUAAAGAUAAUUUUAAAUUAAUAAAUUAAAAUUAAGUUAAUUAUUUUGUUGGGGUGAUAAAAAAAUAAAAAUAACUUUUUUUAAUAAAUAUAUAUAUAUAUAUAUAUAUAUAUAUAUAUUGUAAACAAAAAUAAAUGAUUUUUUGAUCCAGAAUUUUUGAUUAUAAGAAAAAAUUACCUUAGGGAUAACAGCGUAAUUUUUUUUUUUAGUUCAAAUAAGAAAAAGAGUUUGCGACCUCGAUGUUGGAUUAAGGAAAAAUUUAAAUGCAAAAGUUUAAAAUUUUG